rnacentral:tRNA from 1 species
GGGGCGGCGCCGACGCGGGAGAGUCGGGUCUGCCUGUAAAGCAGAAGCUUCGCGCUGAGUGGGUUCGAAUCCCACCCGCCCCA